UGCCUUCGGGAACCGUGAGACAGGUGCUGCAUGGCUGUCGUCAGCUCGUGUUGUGAAAUGUUGGGUUAAGUCCCGCAACGAGCGCAACCCUUAUCCUUUGUUGCCAGCGGUCCGGCCGGGAACUCAAAGGAGACUGCCAGUGAUAAACUGGAGGAAGGUGGGGAUGACGUCAAGUCAUCAUGGCCCUUACGACCAGGGCUACACACGUGCUACAAUGGCGCAUACAAAGAGAAGCGACCUCGCGAGAGCAAGCGGACCUCAUAAAGUGCGUCGUAGUCCGGAUUGGAGUCUGCAACUCGACUCCAUGAAGUCGGAAUCGCUAGUAAUCGUGGAUCAGAAUGCCACGGUGAAUACGUUCCCGGGCCUUGUACACACCGCCCGUCACACCAUGGGAGUGGGUUGCAAAAGAAGUAGGUAGCUUAACCUUCGGGAGGGCGCUUACCACUUUGUGAUUCAUGACUGGGGUGAAGUCGUAACAAGGUAACCGUAGGGGAACCUGCGGUUGGAUCACCUCCUUACCUUAAAGAAGC
rnacentral:rRNA from 1 species